CCUACGGGUGGCAGCAGUGGGGAAUAUUGGACAAUGGGGGGAACCCUGAUCCAGCGACGCCGCGUGAGUGAAGAAGUAUUUCGGUAUGUAAAGCUCUAUCAGCAGGGACGAAAGAAAUGACGGUACCUGACUAAGAAGCCCCGGCUAACUACGUGCCAGCAGCCGCGGUACUACGUAGGGGGCAAGCGUUAUCCGGAUUUACUGGGUGUAAAGGGAGCGUAGACGGUUACGCAAGUCUGGAGUGAAAGGCGGGGGCCCAACCCCCGGACUGCUGUGGAAACUGGAUAACGGGAGUGCAGGAGAGGUAAGUGGAAUUCCUAGUGUAGCGGUGAAAUGCGUAGAUAUUAGGAGGAACACCAGUGGCGAAGGCGGCUUACUGGACUGUAACUGACGUUGAGGCGCGAAAGCGUGGGGAGCAAACAGGAUUAGAUACCCCUGUAGUC
rnacentral:rRNA from 1 species